AGUUGACUCCAUGAGACGGCUUAGAGAGAACAGGGGUCAGGGGUAAAACAACUUAAAAACAGAGAGAGAAACCCGUGCUUUGGCCCCAGGCAGUACUCUCUCAAGCUAAAUGUAGCCUGUGUUUCCAGGGCCUGCACACUGGAUUCAGGACACUAGGGAAGCAAACUGGAAUUUCAGUCAAAUCAUAGUGAAGAUACAGAUCAAGCAGUGGGAAAUUCGAGGUCCGGGAGCAAAUCUACUUGGCCAGGAAUGAACCAUUUCCAGCAUGGGUGCUCUGGGGAAAGCCCCAGAACAAGCCAGGAGGAUUUCCAGCAGGAUGCCUGGGAACACAUAGAAGGCACAGUGGGAGUCUGACGGAAUGGCCACAGAAGUGAGCUCUGAAGCCUUGCUUCAUUUCACAGUGGUGUUUGUACCUUUGCCUGACUGUCUGUCUCCCAGGAAAGGAACGAGAGUACCUGGCAGCACUUCCCCCAGAUGAAGAGGUCAGCACUGUUUAGCCCCGCACUGCCAUGUUAAUUUACCGUGACAAGAUAAAGCAGUAAUCGGGCCAUCCCCUGGAUGAACCUCCCGCCAUCCAGGGACACGCUGCGGCUGAUCUGCACAGAGCAUCACUUUAUACCACCGUGGUUACAGAGCCCCCGAGUUUGUACAUGCAAGCCCUGCUCUUCCUUUGACCCCCUCCUACCACCUCAUUCCCUUGCGAUGCUUGUCUCUCUGCUUGGUGCACAGGUAGCCCACACCCACUCAGGGCUAAUCUCUGAAAACUUUAUGCUUUGCGUCUGACAGGGGAUGCACAAUGCGCCCCCCCCCCCCCACACACACACACACUCUGUCAGGUCUCCUCAUUUACAGGAAGACAUCCCGGGACUUAGAUAAUCCAUUGAUCCCACUUGCAUCGGCUUUUAUAUUUCAGUCUGUCGUGUUAAGUUGUCAAGAGCAGUGGUUAAACCAGUGUUUCACGAUCUGAGAUUGACUUUCUAAGGCUGGGUUUCUCAGAGCUUGCCUUCCUACCCUGCACUCCCAGCCAUCUCUAAGAAAGCAGCUGUGUCUUCACUGGCGUGAAUAUAGUAAUGAAACAAUAAAGUGUUUUAGGUCAGGACAUUUUAGAGAGACUCGGGUUAUAAGCAUAAGAGCGAAAAACCGAACAAGCUUUGGAAUUUCAAAGGAUGGCGUCUGUCUCGUUCUGUCUGCGGGAAGCAAAAACACCAUAUGUAAA